UUGGAGGAAUGUAUAGCGAAAGCUAGUUGCAUUUAACUUAGCGAAAGCUAAGUUGAUGCAGGAUUGACUAUGUCAAAUAAAGUUCUAGGUGGGUUAUGAUGAUGACAUUUCCUAUCUAUGUGUCUUGACCAAAUUACGUGCCAGCAGUCGCGGUAACACGUAAAAGACUAGUGUUAUUCAUCUUUAAUAGGUUUAAAGGGUACCUAGACGGUAAAUCAAGUCCAAGAAGGGUACUAAUUUUACUAGAGUUUAAUAUGAGGGGGCACUAAAGUACUGAUAAGUGUAGAGAUGAAAUUCUGUGAUACAAUAUACGGCACUGGUAAAGGCGAAAGCAUCUCAUUAUGUAAUAACUGACGUUGAGGGACGAAGGCUAGGUGUAGCAAAAAGGAUUAGAUACCCAAGUAGUCUUAGCAGAAAAUUAUGAAUGUCAUAGGAUGGAAAGUUGGAUGGACAAACAACAAAUUUUUUUUUCUAUAAAUGAAAGUGUAAGCAUUCCACCUCGAGAGUAAUUUGGCAACAUUGGAACUGAAAUCAUUAGACCGUUUCUGAAACAAGUAGUGAAGUAUGUUGUUUAAUUUGAUGGUCCGCAAAAAACCUUACCACAAUUUGAAUAGAAAAAUUUUUUUCAUACAAGCGCUGCACGGUUGUCUUCAGUUAAUGUCGUGAGAUCUUGGUUAGUUCCAUUAAAUUAACGUAAACCCUUACUCUAUUUUUAUAUAGAGUAGUUCACCGCUAGAUUGGAUGUGAUAACAGGGACUAGACAGUCUCGC
rnacentral:rRNA from 1 species